GGCCGUAUGCCGGAACGGUAACGGGCUGCACUCGAAUUUAUUCGAGAGUUACCGAGAGCGUGUGCUCUUGUUGCGAUGCCGUGGGAUUUUCCCUACUUGGUUCGACUCCAAGUGCGGUCG